UACGAAGGUCCCGAGCGUUGUUCGGAAUCACUGGGCGUAAAGGGAGCGUAGGCGGCGCGGUAAGUCAGAUGUGAAAUCCCGGGGCUCAACCCCGGAACUGCAUUCGAUACUGCCGUGCUUGAGGACUGGAGAGGAGACUGGAAUUUACGGUGUAGCGGUGAAAUGCGUAGAUAUCGUAAGGAAGACCAGUGGCGAAGGCGGGUCUCUGGACAGUUCCUGACGCUGAGGCACGAAGGUCAGGGGAACAAACGGG
rnacentral:rRNA from 1 species